UAAUCCAUAGCCCAUGUGCGUGGCUCAUCACUUUACCAAAUUUUCCCUACUUUGUUGGCCCUGCUCGUGCUAUUACUAGAUGGCUGAAGCUUCCUUUGCCAUGUUGUGCUGAAGGUUCCCUGCUUUACUCCCCAAACUUUGCAUGUCCUCUGCCUUCCUAUCUACAGCUUUGGAGCUUAAGGCUUUUGUUCUUUCACAUGUUUUGCAAUUGUCUAGUUUCCCUGACCUUUGGGUUUGAAGUAAAGCAUUUCCUUUUUAUUGGGUUGCACUGUCAAUAAGCCUUCGAUAUGGCUACUAUGCAGAUUGCCGUAUGGUGCUUGGACCAAGCUCUCAAUUGAUGAAGGCUAGUUCUUUAUUUGUAGAUUAGGUUGAAGCUAGAGAUGAUAAUGGGAUAGGGGCUCUUCUUUAUGGCUUCUCCGAGAAGCCAGAAUCAAGUAGGGAAACCAAUUGGAGCGCUUCAAAUAUUUUGAUUGUUGGAUCAUAUGGUCGCAAGGUAAUAUCUGAUUGCACCAUAAUCAACAUAAUGAAAUCCUUGAGGCAAUUGCAAACAUUGCCUUUGUGAUACUGUCUUGGUGAUAUAUCCAUAUCAAGCUUCUACUUGUCUCUGCCAAAUCUGAGGAAAUUGAGGCUUGAAAGGGUAACUCCUUGGAUGACUAAUAAUGAUUUGGUUUUUCUCACUCAGAACUUUGCAAACUUGGUUGGGCUUGCAUUUUUAGGAUGCAAACUUCUUAAUUCAGUAAUGAAGGCAGUCACCAAUGUUAUCCAUGUUAUUUUUUGUUUCUUCAGAUGCUCGAUGCAUCAUCUCUAGUGAAUGGCCAGGCUUGAUAUCUAUUCAUCUUAAGGACUGUAAAGAAGUGACCAGAAGUAGUGUUUGUUCUCUUUUCAACUGCACUGCACUUGAAGAUCUCUUGCUGCGGCAUAAUGAAAAAUGUGUUUGGCCUACAAAUCAAGAUGUUUUGGUUCGACGGAUAUGGGAUAAAAUUUGUUCCAAUGAGUUAAGAAACAUGCUUUUAGAAGAGAAGAACAAAGCAACAACGAAUGCCAAAACAGGUGACAUUAGGGACUGCGAAGGCAUACCAAGGGAAUGAAUCACAAAUGAAAUCUGGGAUGCCCUUAUCGAAACGAUAUGAGGUACAGAAGAAUGCUAAAACAAAUCGAGAAAAGCAAGGCAAAAUGGUUUAUGAUGAUUUAGUUUUAUGUUCAUAUUUAUUUGACAUUUUAAAUAUUGUGUGUUUAUGACGAUUUUAAUGGUAUGAACUUGACUUUAAAUUUUAGUUUUUAA